GACGAACGCUGGCGGCGUGCUUAACACAUGCAAGUCGAACGGAAAGGCCCUGCUUUUGUGGGGUGCUCGAGUGGCGAACGGGUGAGUAACACGUGAGUAACCUGCCCUUGACUUUGGGAUAACUUCAGGAAACUGGGGCUAAUACCGGAUAGGAGCUCCUGCUGCAUGGUGGGGGUUGGAAAGUUUCGGCGGUUGGGGAUGGACUCGCGGCUUAUCAGCUUGUUGGUGGGGUAGUGGCUUACCAAGGCUUUGACGGGUAGCCGGCCUGAGAGGGUGACCGGCCACAUUGGGACUGAGAUACGGCCCAGACUCCUACGGGAGGCAGCAGUGGGGAAUAUUGCACAAUGGGCGGAAGCCUGAUGCAGCAACGCCGCGUGCGGGAUGACGGCCUUCGGGUUGUAAACCGCUUUCGCCUGUGACGAAGCGUGAGUGACGGUAAUGGGUAAAGAGGCACCGGCUAACUGCGUG
rnacentral:rRNA from 1 species